CAGGCUUUGGGUCGGGCGUGGGCUUGGGGUCAGGCUUCGGCCCCGGUUUAGGGUCGGGCUGCGGGUCUGGUUUGGGGUCGGGCUUGGGUGCUGGGUCAGGUUUCGGCGCCGGUUUAGGGUCGGGCUUGGGUGUUGGGUCAGGUUUCGGCGCCGGUUUAGGGUCGGGCUUGGGUGUUGGGUCAGGUUUUGGCACCGGUUUUGGGUCGGGCUGUGGGUCUGGUUUUGGUUCAGGUUUUGGCGCUAGUUUAGGGUCGGGCUUGGGAGUCGGGUCAGGUUUCGGCGCCAGUUUAGGGUCGGUCUGCGGGUCUGGUUUGGGGUCAGGCUGUGGCGUAGGCUUGGGCUCUAGGCUGGGCUCAUGCUUCAGCCCCGGCACCCUCCCAGCGACGGCGAGGCUUGCAACAUUUGCCGCGACGAGGGCCAAGAGCAAGCACAGCGAGAAGGCAGUUGCCCUCAUCGUCGCCGCUCACUGGCUAGCUAGCUGCUCACUCAGGUCACUCUCCUUGUGUGUGUCACCGGAAUCACACUUGGCUGUGU
rnacentral:lncRNA from 1 species